rnacentral:rRNA from 1 species
AUUCCAGCUCCAAUAGCGUAUAUUUAAGUUGUUGCAGUUAAAAAGCUCGUAGUCGGACUUUGGCUGAGAACGGUCGGUCCGCCGUUAGGUGUGCACUGACUGGUCUCAGCUUCCUGGUGAGGAGGUGUGCUUCACGGCCACUUAGUCACCGUGGUUACUUUGAAAAAAUUAGAGUGUUCAAAGCGGGCUUACGCUUGAAUAUAUUAGCAUGGAAUAACACCAUAGGACUCCUGUCCUAUUUCGUUGGUCUCGGGACGGGAGUAAUGAUUAAGAGGAACAGUUGGGGGCAUUCGUAUUUCAUUGUCAGAGGUGAAAUUCUUGGAUUUAUGAAAGACGAACUUCUGCGAAAGCAUUUGCCAGGGAUGUUUUCAUCA